GCUGGCGACAAUAGCAAGAGUGAACCACCUGAUCCCUUCCCGAACUCAGAAGUGAAACCUCUUAGCGCUGAUGGUAGUGUGGGGUUACCCAUGUGAG
rnacentral:rRNA from 1 species